rnacentral:lncRNA from 12 species
CUCAUUAUGAAGACACCAUAACUCUGCCAUUUCCAAACACUCAUUAAUGACCCUUCCUAGGACUUUCCACUGGGAACCCCCUGGGAAGAGCAGGCAACACGAUCCCUCGGCCUGCCAGGUGGUGAGUGGUGUGUGCACAGCUCUCCGCCCUGCUUCAGGAAGAGCUGACUGCAGGUGUAGACAUAGGCCAAGCCUGGGGCCUUGGAGGGCCUCAUCCACCCACAGAGCCCACGCCCUUCCUUUCUCCAUCCUACUGUGGUACAAACACCACCAUCCAGGAGAGGCUGUCCCCCCAGAAAUGGCAAGCAGCAAGCAGACAGAGCCAGUCCCGAGGCGCCCUCCGGGAGCCGGCAUGACCCCAGCGCCACAGCCUCCCGCGUGGGCCUGGGUUUGAGAGCUAGUGGGGAAAGGGCGGGCCCCUGAACCUAG